rnacentral:rRNA from 1 species
UACGUAGGGGGCAAGCGUUGUCCGGAUUUAUUGGGCGUAAAGAGCGUGUAGGCGGCCAGGUAGGUCUGCUGUGAAAACUCGAGGCUUAACCUCGAGCUGUCGGCGGAAACCAUCUGGCUAGAGUCCGGAAGAGGAGAAUGGAAUUCCCGGUGUAGCGGUGAAAUGCGCAGAUAUCGGGAAGAACACCGGUGGCGAAGGCGGCUUCCUGGACAAUAACUGACGCUGAGGCGCGAAAGCUAGGGGAGCAAACAGG